rnacentral:rRNA from 1 species
UACGUAGGGCGCAAGCGUUGUCCGGAUUUAUUGGGCGUAAAGAGCUCGUAGGCGGUUCCGUAAGUCGGGUGUGAAAAAUCUGGGCUCAACCCAGUGGAGCACCCGAUACUGCGGUGACUCGAGUCCGGUAGGGGAGUGUGGAAUUCCUGGUGUAGCGGUGAAAUGCGCAGAUAUCAGGAGGAACACCGACGGCGAAGGCAGCACUCUGGGCCGGUACUGACGCUGAGGAGCGAAAGCAUGGGGAGCGAACAGG